rnacentral:rRNA from 1 species
AAUGUGAUAAGUAAUGUGAAUUGCAGAAUUCAGUGAAUCAUUGAAUCUUUGAACGCACCUUGCACCUUUUGGUAAUCCAAAAGGUACACCUGUUUGAGUGUCAU